rnacentral:lncRNA from 1 species
UGGGCCGUUACACAAGAGGGGGGACCACACACACAUACACAAACACAAACACAUACACCAACACUCAAACAUGCACGGACACUCAUAUACACAUUAUACACUCACACUGAUAUACAUUGUACAUUUACUCAGUUAACAUAUAAUUCACACAAACACAAGAGCAGUGCUUUUAACUACGACGAUGACAUCGACACAAGAAGUUUGCCCACCUUCAAGAAGACUUAACGCCAGCUUUAGAAACACUCAUAGCCAGUUUCCACCUUCGACAUGACAUAGUACUAUUCUGAAGCGCCUGGGCUUGAGUACACACAAAGGCGGGAAGUGUCUGGAGUUCCACUUGAAUGAAGGAGCUGAGGAGUUAGGGUUUCACGUCCCUCCAUAUCACCACUAAUAACACCUGACGGUCCUUGCUGCACAUCUGAAUACCACCCGCUCCGACGUGAAGCAUAGCCCCCACGCCCCUUUUUUCUGUUUGUAGAGCCCAUCGCGAACAGUGACCCUGGCACACCGCGAAAUAUUGGUCCACUCCAGAUAAACAUACAGUUCAAGAUCUGUUGAGAAAUAGCGACCACAGCCUAUUGUAGAUCCUGACGCUGGUAAAGAUCCACAGCGUAUAUCAGCCCAGACGUGGAGUGAAUAUCGGACCACAUCCGUUAUGAACAUCUGUACGGUCCCAUCGUGAAGACAAACCUAAGCUCGCCACGAAUCUUUUUCCCAACCGUAUUCUCCAAUGAUCCAGACUCGUUUCGUCGUCUCCAGCAACCUAGCAACUCGCCAUCACUGGUCCAACACUAAAGCUCCAAACUCUAGUCACAUUAAAAGGCAGAAAUACCAUCGAGAUUGUAGAAACUCCCGAUGUGUCACCACUAUCUUGAUAACUGACCGUAUCAAGAUGAGGAACAGACGACCCUUACGAAGACUUACAGUUUUUAUCAACUUACUUAACAGUCUAAAGACUUGCCCGGGAACCGAAAUGUAAAAAAGAACAGCAUAACCUGGCAAUCUGGCGUUGACAUCAUUCCUAUCAGGAAAAUGUGUUAUCAGGAAUAUGUGUUAAAUAUGAAUUCAGCUAUCUACCCGUUUUCGGCAUCAUGUCAGGAGGAGGUAGCAGGCGCACUCCAGCUCCCGACAACGUUUGACAAUCGCUGUUAUCGUCAGGAGGAAGUGGAAAAUUCACUGCGGCUCUUGACAACGCAUUGGCAAUUACGGAUAAGUCAGGAGGAAGUGAAAACCUUGCAGAACUUCUGAUUUCACGCUGAUAAUCACCGUUCGUUUUUAAAUAACUGACACAAUCUUUACAUCACCUAAAACCAUGUUGGGAAUUCCUAAUAUGCCAAGAGCAAGAACAGAAUGGUGCCCCUGAAGGCGUGCCAUGGGCGCCAGAUGGUCCGCGCAGAAGAGUUGCCAGGCACUUGUGACAGUGAAUAACCAGCAUGUGUUUGUGUGUGAUUGCGGUUUUUGACAACAUCAACAUUGGUUACAAAACUCUGAUGGAAAAUAUAUCUACACCAAAAUUAAAUCUGAAACGUGACAGUCUUUGGGUCAUGACUGUUAGCAGUGACAGAAAAUGUUCAAUUCUAUUACGAAAAGUACAAUGUUCACGUAUCAAUUCUGAGCAACUUUGUGUUAUCAAGGAAGUUACAGCAUUAUUAUCCUCAUCAAGAGUAUUUUCCCCAUGGCCAUCAUCGUCACAUUAUUAUGAAAAUCUUACAUGUGUGCUGCAAAGUCGGAACAUAAAACGCGAAAUCUUUUUAUAUCCGCCAGGCAUUCUUUGCGCUCCUCGUCGCAUGAAAGUCGUGCCAUUUGAGUUCUUGGAGCGAGGUGCUAGUUAUUUGGCUCGGUGUGUGGGUCGCCAAGGCUGCUGUCGCGUUUCCCAUGGCUCCUCGGAUUAUCCAUGGUGAUGUACGAUCCGAGUAACAGCGGGGCUGGCUAAGUUUCGGUACAAGAAAAAACUAGAUAGUAACUUCCGGUUGUUGGUGACGACUGAGCGUUGUAUUUACAAUACAGCUAAAGGAUUAUCAGUCGUUUGUAUUGGGAGUGUUUUAGUUUGAGCAUCACUGAUUGCCUUUCGUCUGUAUUGUACUAUUAUUUACCGACUGGACAAUCGUGGAGUAGAGAAUUUUUAGAUUACAGAUCAAAAUCGUUCUCUUAAUAAGGCCAUCAAAUUCGUACAUAUAAACAGUUCUCCUCCAUCCUUCGAAGUAAGACGCUGGGCCUUGAGAAAAGCAUGAUAAAACUGACUUAUUUUCACUUGACUAAGACUCGGAGUGUUACCGUGAGUGUCUGUGUGUAACCAUUACGACGCAUCGAGGAGGGCGUUUGUUUUCCUUCCCUCGCGGCGUCGGUUAUCACACGUGAACAAUUUGUGGUGUGCAGUGUUGCGAUGGCUUUGAGUUUCCCAGCAUGCAAUUCACAAAGGCGUGUGUAUUUCUAAUUUGCAACAGUGCACUUCAUACCGGCCAAUGAGUCCUCUGAAGGGUUGGAAAUAUAACAUGCUGCCACCUGACCAAUCAGAGAACUCCCUGGCCUCUUGGGACAGGCGCUUCCUUGCUAUUGGUUCCAUCAGUGCCACCUGAACCAACAGUAGAAGCUUUUGUUCUUGUUCCGUGUGAGAUGUGUGAUCCGGAAUGUUUAGCUCAUUAUGGCAUGACUGAUGUUUACUGGAUUGACUUAAUAAACAAAACCACCCA